UACGUAGGGUGCAAGCGUUGUCCGGAAUUAUUGGGCGUAAAGAGCUCGUAGGCGGUCUGUCGCGUCGGCUGUGAAAACCCGAGGCUCAACCUCGGGCCUGCAGUCGAUACGGGCAGACUAGAGUGCGGUAGGGGAGAUUGGAAUUCCUGGUGUAGCGGUGGAAUGCGCAGAUAUCAGGAGGAACACCAAUGGCGAAGGCAGAUCUCUGGGCCGUAACUGACGCUGAGGAGCGAAAGCAUGGGGAGCGAACAGG
rnacentral:rRNA from 1 species